ACAUCUGCCCACCACGUUAACGAGCAUUUAGGUCGCUACUCAACUUUAUUACCCUUCCGUCAUCUCAGUAUAUGUCCGCCAUGUACGCCGUGCGUGAUGUUCAAGUCAAAUGUUUGCUGUCUUGUUGAUUAUGAAACACAUUUAUACACGUUUGUUUACAUUGGCUGGAACCGACUCCAACAAUAUUAAAAAUUUAUAUCAUUAUUCUUAUAAAAUUUACAAGAAUAAAAUUAAUUUAAUUGAUUUUAUUCUAAUUCUAAUUUGAUUUAUUUUUAUCUUAUUAGUGAGUUUUUUCAAAGCAAAUUUAAUGAUCGGUAUUUUUCUUUGUAUAAAUUUUAUAUUUCUACUUUUUAAUUAUAAAGUAUUACUUGAUAAUGAAGCCGGAAGAUAGGUAGUUCAUUUGGAUCUAUUUUAGCGACCGUCAAUACCACUGGUCUCACAGGAAAGCGAUCUAAUACGCAAUUUCGUUCACUUGAUGACAUAAUUUUAAUUUAAAAACUAUAAAAGCGAUUUUGAUGAAAUUUUUAUUGGACUAAUUUAAAAUCACGUAUUUUUAAAUAAAAAAAAAAUUUUCGAUAUUGGUUUAUAAAUGGUGGAGUUCCGAAGUAAUGAACAAAACAAUACUACCAAAUUUUAUUACAUGCUCCUAUUUUUGAAGUCUGUUAAAAACAAAUAAAAUAAUGUCAUAUAAGUACUAAAGUAUUCAAUCUGGAUUACAUCCGAGUAGCAUUAUAUUUGUUUCACGGUUGGUUCAAGCGACCCAUGAGUGCAGGAAAUUUUCAGCAUUUUUUUUCUCAAAAAAUCAACAUGCAAAUAUAUUAAAAAUUAUUGAUCAUAUUGGAGCGGAGAAAAAAACUUAAAAGAGGUGUAAUGAUGGAUCACUGAAAGACAGUAGUGUUAAUGCUUUAAAAUAAUUUGAAGAAAAACAGAUAAAUCAGCUGGUUUUGGAGGAUUUUUUGAGCAAAAAAAAUUUUACUAAUCAACAUCUAGAUCUAGAUCAACUACAGCAACAAUUUAUUAUAAGUGUUAAUUUACUAUUUAGAAUAAUUGAAAAUCCUGUUUUAAAGGAAUUAAUUGAAUAAGUUAUCCCUAACAGAAAACUUAUGUCUCGGCCUACUUUAAUAAAAAGUAUUGAGAAUGACAUUCAUAAAUUUUCCUUCAAAAUAAAAUCUAAGAUGUUUUAAUGUAAUAUUGCAAUAAACCAAACUGCAGAUGGUUAGUUGAUUUUUAAAAAAUUGUACAUUGGAAUAACAGUCACAUGGAUCAAAGGGGAUUUAUUAGGAACAACUCAUCUUUUAACACUGAGAAAACUAAAAGGGUCACAUACAUAUGGUAUCUUAGCUGAAGUUAUAGAUAAAAACAUUGGUGUCAUGACUUGAUGAUGAAACUAUUCAAAUUUCUAAUCAGUUGCUUGUGAACUAUUUAGUAGAAGUAGAUAAUGAAAUAGAAAAAAUUGAUGUAAUCAAUUUGAACAUUCUAAAUAUUGAGGAACAAAAUUAUCAUUAUAAGUUACCCAAAAUCACCAAUGUUAUACACACACAAUUUGAUAGCAACAGUGGUAAAUAAAAAUAAAUAUCCAACUAUCCAUAAAAUAAACUAUCCAUAGUACAUUUAAAAAGUAACAUUUUAGAUCAAAUACUUUAUUUGUUUAAUUAACAAUUUCUGUUUUUCAAAGGACUCUAAGAAACUUUAUCUAAUGCUGCUUUUAUAAAACAGUCCAGAAUUAUUGUUUGCCAAGUCAAUUAUUUUGUGAAACAAACAAUGGCACUCAACCAAAUUAGCUGAUUUAAUCAAAUAAAAUCUUGGUGUUUAUUUAAUAACACCCAACAAGACACAUUAUAAUUUAGUUUAUAAUGCAGUGGUGUUGCUUAAUAAAUUAAUUAAAAUUAAUGAAUUUAAAUUUAGAAUUAUUAUGGAUGAAUUGGCUAUUAUGUGAUUAAUACUAAAAUAAAAUAAUUUAUUGUUUCAUUGACCAUAUAUAUAUAUAUA